CCCCUCUCAGGGUCACACCUGGAGAGUUUCCAGUACUCUUCCAGUCUUGACUAUAGGAGGGAGAGUCAAGCAGAGGCAUUUCCAUUCCUAGCUUAGGCAAUAGCUAAAGACUGGAAGGCAAUCUGCUACAAGU
rfam:Ornithorhynchus anatinus chromosome 1, whole genome shotgun sequence.